ensembl:lncRNA
GCCUGGGCGUGGCGAGGCCCAGUCUCUGUCAGAGAGCACACCUGGAUUGUUGCCCUGAUCACAAGCCAGUGUCUUCUGUUUGUCUUCUUUCCCACCUGGUGCUGAUGGAGUGGGGCCUCGUGAUGCUCGAGGGGUCAUCACUCAAGUGUCACCUCGGGGACCCAUCUGUUGGCCAGCUUCCCACAGCCUCACCGCACACACAGUCCCUCCCUGCCAUGUCUAAUUGUUCCCCUGCACACUAAUGCCCCCCACCCCGACAAAGCCCAAGUCGCUAAUUUUCUCACAACUCCCUCCCUCCAGAACUGUACUGUGAGACCCUAACCUGCACUGCUCGUGGCUCUGUCUCCAGCAUCCAGAACAUUGCUGGGCAGGUGUGAACGCGUUGUCUAUGGAAUGACCAAGAGAAUAAAUGAAGUCUACCUUAAUAACGACGAUCCUGUAUUCUCAUUCACUUUAAAAAAUUGC